CGCAUAACUAGUAUUUAUAGGCAUCGCGAGACGGGCUUUUGGGGGAUUUAGAGAAGUCACCGUGGACUCUGAGAAACGUUCCAUCGUUCUGCUCCAUCUCCUCGCGGUUUCAUCACAUCUUCCGAAAUUGUUGCCGCGACUCUUUUUCGUACCUAUAACCAAAACACAGGGAAAAGGCUCUGCCCGUGCAGGACACACACAUUCGCCAUAAAUAAUUAUUCAUAAGCGGGGCCUGCAGGCUGCGCCGGAAAAGUUGCGCGGGGCCAUUUCUGCGGAAACUUCUGGAUUGCGUGCCGUGUGAGGCGAGCUGAUGGAGGCCGCUGUCACGAGGAAUGAGCGAUUGAGUUAAUGAGAGAAAACGUGUUGUCUGAGCUCAUUAUUUGGGCGGGAGGCUGCGCUCUCUUCCUGCAGCAGCGACACAUAGGAUGUGUGUCAACUGACACAUGGCUCGGAGGAAACCGAUAAAGUCAUCGUGGGAAACACCGAAACCUCACCUCUGCAGCUCUCCUGCAGUGCGCGCCGCCCCUCGCUGCUCUCGCACGGUGCUCGACGGUUUUCAGACCUUUCGAGAGCUCUAACGAUCGCCGAAAUCUGCUUCCAGCUCGACUUGGAGAGUCGCCCACGAUGAACCCGGCGAGAGGCCGCGCCGGUGACACAUGAGCCCCGAUGCCGAGAUGCGAUGAUGAGGAUGGUCUGGAGCGCGUCUCUCUUCGCAGUGUGGAGCCUCACGUGCUGGACAGGUGAGAAACACCUGGGUGACGCUGGUGUUCAGGUCUCUGUUCGGCAGGAGCCUCGUGAGCUCCAUGUGACGGAGGGAGAAAAUGUCACCAUGAACUGCUCUUACUCUGUGAACUCCACUGAAGCAAAGCAAAUCAGGGUGCGGUGGAUUCUGAGCUGCAAUGGAUACCUGAUCCAGCAGAACAAAAGCUGCAGUAAAAUCCAGUCCAACACUUACAAUAUAACUGGAAAGCAGCAGUUACUGGACUCUCUGUCUUUAACGUCUGUACGAAGACACCAGGGUGGGACGUACAUCUGUCAAGCAGUUCUGGAAAUUCCUGAGAUUUUUAAAAGAAAUGGAAAUGGAACUCUCCUGGUUAUUAAAGCAUCAGAUUCUCCUGCGGCCCCGUCGGCAAAGGGACACAUUUCCAUCAUCCUGUAUACAGCACUGACGACUUUUGGGCUCAUGGCAAUUUUCUUCAUAAUAUACUGCAGGAAAAAAGGAAACAACCAUAAUUCUUCCGUUCAAAGGAAAUCAGACUGUCGGGUAGGUAGAACACAGUAAGGUAAAUGGUAAAAAGAGUUGAAAGAGCAGUGCUGUGUGCACAUGUGUGUAUAGUGUGUGUGUGGAGGUAUAUAACAGCACUAUAUAUAGCAUGCAUAUAUAUAUAUAUAUAUAAUUGUAUAUUAUAUGUACUAGUAUUUGUUUGGCGGCUCGAACCCCUGCAGGAAUCUCAUGAUGGUGAGACAGAUGUACAAUAUGCAACUCUGAACCUCCCAACAAGUCCCUGCGUCUCUGAAACAGCAGCCCCUCCUCGAAAGGUAAAUCCUGGUUCUUUUAUAGGAAUUACAUUACAGUUACAUCCGCAAACUGGUUUUACUUUAAUGGUUCAUUCAAUGUAAAAGUAAAUGAUACAUUUCUGUAUGCAGGGUAAACUCUCUUUUUAAAUGACAAAAAUUAAAAAAUUCCAAAGAUAUAUUAAUUCCCAAACAGGUUACAUUUACCAGUGUAUUGAGAUACAUAUAUAUUAUUACAAUUAAUAUAUAGACCAUGAUAUGUGUUGCCUUUAGUGGGAGAUCCAUUAUGAUACUUCUAGCGACGUGAUGGAGUGAAAUUGUUGUUUUCAACUAAUAUUUGGAUGGUGUGAAGGGGCCGCCUCCGCGCUCAUGUUUCCAGCGGGUUUUGGGACAAUCGGUGUAAAACUGAAUUUUCAGAAGCCCAGCGAAGGCCCGCCUGCCCUAGGGGAGCCCGGGAAGGAGGAGAAUGCAGAUGUUGUCUAUUCACACAUCUGCACCAGCAAACACUCAAGACAGACGAGCCGCCGAUGAUGGUCGUCCAAGCGUCACAUCGCCGUUUUAAUUAUUAAUGUCUCUUCAACUACAAUAUUGUCACAGCUCGACUACCUUAAAUCACAAGGCGUGAGUGACACGAUAGUCUGCUUUUUCUCAGCUUCGCCUCCCCGUGUUCCUCUCCAUCCCUGCCUGUGAGCUUCAUCCUCUUUAUGUGCUUUUUUAUUUCAAAUGUGGCCAGAAUGAUUUUCUGCACUCUUUGGCCUCUUCAAAAACUCUUCUCUGAUCAUAAAUAUAUUAACUUGCUGGUUUUCAGAUGAUUUUACAGCUGAGACAUAUUUAUACUUGCUAUUUACUGCGAAAUGGCUCUGUGUAGCUGUUUGUACGCAGCAUUUUUCUCUCUUCAAAGUGUUUCGUUGUUCCUACUGUUUUGCCUUCCCUGUAUUAAUUUUAUUAAUUAAUUAAUUAAGUAAUGUAUUAAUACAUUAUAAAAUAUAUAAUUAAUUAAUAUGACCACAAGGUAUUGUCUCCAUAUUUCAGAAACUUCUGUUGCAGACUAAGCCUUAAUUUACUGGGAUUAAGUUUGUCAUUUAGUCGCAUCACUUCAUGACUCUUUUUAUUCAAAAUCAAUUCAACGCACAAACUGACACUUCGUGUGCUGCAUGUUUCGAUUUCAGCCUGUUUUUUUUCUUUUUGACUGCCGCAAUUUCCACGGAAUUCGUUGUCAUUUAAGUUGUAAAUACAUCAGUUUUGACGCAUUUGAAAAUUUCCCCAAAUGCUAUUUUGAUAUCUUUUCUUUCCUGUUAGUAAAUGUGCCGGGAGGUGUAAGCAGGGGUGUCAGACGGCUUUGCCUUAUUACAGCCUGGUAAAAACAUGAUCAUUUUACUGAUAUGCAUCUGUGCGGAGGUGUGCGAACGACCAUGGAUGUCAGUGCGGUAUAUAAUGGAGUGGAUGUAAUAAUUCAUGCAAUAAUGAUUCAUGAGGUCGCUGUUCACCCGCAGUGUCGCGAAUGUCGAGACGAAGACGGUUUCACACAUUCGGGUGUCACGCAUCAGGUGGGCUCUUAAACCUUCACUCGUUGCGCUUCGAUGUCGUCAUUUGUGCUGUUUGUUAAUACUACAUGCUUUAAGUGAAUUUUUUGUGUCUUUAAAUUUGAUGUAGGCGGUCCAGUGGAGUAAAACAUUUUGAUUUAUGUCAAAGUGGCUCACAGAUAAAAUGUGUGGACAAUCACUGUAUGUAUUGUGCAUAUUUACAUAUAUACAUAUUUAAUACUACAUAUAAACAGCAAUAAUAAAGUAUAUUUAAAAAC
rnacentral:lncRNA from 1 species